rnacentral:piRNA from 8 species
AGCUCAGUCGGUAGAGCAUGAGACUCUU